rnacentral:lncRNA from 1 species
CCGGAACCCGCGCCGGCCUGCAAGCGCCGCGCGCCUCUCCCUCCACACCUCCCCGCGAGCAGAGGGAGCCGGCUCCGACCUCGACCAGCCCCAGAGAGGAGCCCCCACAGUGCAGCGGCAGGCUGAAGGGCUCCUCAAGCGCGGCCAGAGCGGACGCCGAGGCCGAGGAGGCACCGAGAGCGAGGGCUGCUGGCACGUUGUCACCUCUCAAAGGAGCAUGACCAGCAGACUAACGCAGCAAGCAGAUGAUGCUCCUGAUGAAAAGGGCAGACCCAGUUGAGCCUGGGCUACGCUGACACAGACUUUGUUGCUCUUCAUUUGGCAAAGGCCCCGCUGUGUAAUUACGUCUGGAAUUGGUGGGUUCUUGGUCUCACCGACUUCAAGAAUGAAGCCGUGGAUCCUCGUGGUGAGUGUUACAGCUCUUAAGGUGACGCACCUGGAGUUUGUUCCUUCUGAUGUUCAGAUGUGUUUGGAGUUUCUUCCUUCUGGUGGGUUCGUGGUCUCGUUGGCUCAGGAGUGAAGUUGCAGACCUUGGCGGUGAGUGUUAGAGCUCUUAAGGUAGUGCAUCUGGAGUUGUUCAUUCCUCCCGGUGGGCUUGUGGGCUCUCUAGCUUCAGGAGUGAAGCUGCAGAUCUUCGCAGUGAGUGUUACAGCUCAUGAAAGCAGUGUGGAGUCAAAGAGUGAGCAGUAGCAAGAUUUAUUGCAAAGAGCGAAAGAACAAAGCUUCCACAGGGUGGAAGGG